AAGAGACUAGAAAGGUGUGGACUUUCUGCUGAGAGCUGAGGAGGACUGCAGAGGAUUUGUAAGAGUGUGUAAUCGCAUAUGCAAAUGAUAUGGUUGUGUCAGCUCCGUGGUGCCAGGCAUUGGCGGUGACUGAGUGGUUUGCAAGACAGAGUCUUACUCUCAAGUCCUCCUGGUCUGACACAGAAGCUGCAGCAAGGCAACCACAAGGAUCCUCAUCAGAGCAGCAGGACUUCUCUCUCCUCUUCAGUAUUCCAGACACAAUCCAGUG